rnacentral:antisense_RNA from 1 species
UUUUCAGAAAAAAACAAAACAAAACAAAACAAAAAACCUCUGUUUGUAUCUGUAGACAAAGAUCUGUUCAGAAUGGUUGGCUUUGUGAGUUUACAGCUGGCCAAUGAGAGGUGCUGCAUGAUAUUGGAAGAUGGGACAGAAAGAACCAGUAUUCUGCAGAGGCAGUUGCAUGAGCAGAUGUGAAAUGUCCUGGAGGCUCCCCCAAUAAGCUGAGAAGCAUCUGCUUUCCCACUAUAGAUGGAGACCAUUGAAGGAAGCUUCCCAGAGAUUUCAGAAUUGCAGAAGCUUCUGUGAGCUAUGAAGAACAACCUGACUUUGACCUUCAGACUGAGAUAUAGCUGGAGGCUGCUUUGACCUUCUUUCCCACAGCUCUUUUGACCUUUCUAAAGCCCCAAACCCUAUCUUAAAAAUGACAAAUAUGGAAUGCAAAGAGCAGCUUUUCUUUUUCUGAUCAUGGCAUUAAUAUAAUACAAUAGUGAACCAUCUAGCAUAGUGAUUAAGAACAUUGGCUGUCGAAUUAGACAUAUUUAGUUUAGCAUUUUGAUUCUACCCCAAAUUGGCAAAGUUACUGAAUGUGUCUAAAUUUUAAUUUGCUCAUUUGUAAAAUAUGGCUAAUAAUAGUACUAUUUUUUAGCUCAUUUAUAAAGUAUGGAUAAUAAUAGUGCCUAUUUUAGGGUGUUCUGAAUAUUAAAAGAAGUAAACCACGUAAAGCACUUAGCACAGUGCUGGAUACUAACAAUCGUUAUUGUGAUCUAACUAUAAUUUUGCUUAAAAACAUUUGUUCAAGUUUUCUUAUAUCAUCUCCUCUAUAAAUAUGAGAAUUUAACAUGAAAUUUUAACUCUACAAGUUUAAUGGGAGCUAAAAU